rnacentral:misc_RNA from 1 species
GCUUUUUGUCUGCUCUUUUCUGUUCUUCAUCUCAAGAUUGGCCGCUACACAAAACACUAUCACUCCAGGUCAAUCCAUGAGAGAUAAUGAGACGCUGAUUUCAGCAGACGGAAGCUUUGAGCUUGGAUUUUUCAGUCCUGGUAAUGCAAGAAGCCGAUAUUUGGGAGUUUGGUAUAAGAAGGUAUCAAGCAGGACUAUUGUGUGGGUAGCCAAUAAAGAAACUCCAAUUCUCACUAAAUCAGGAGCUUUACGCUUGGAUAACAAAGGAAAUCUCAUCCUCCGCAAUGGCAAGGAUGGUGUAGUUUGGUCAUCCAACAAUACAUCAAGGACACAGCAGAAUCCGGUAGCAAAGCUCCUAGAUUCAGGAAAUCUUAUUGUCAGAGAUGGUAAAGAUAACAUGCUAUGGCAAAGUUUUGAUUAUCCAAGUGAUACCAUGCUUCCAGGUAUGAAACUUGGAAGAAACCUUGCCACGGGAUUAAAUUGGUUUCUAACAACUUGGAAGAACUCAAAUAAUCCAGCACCUGGUGAGUUUUCGUUUUGGAUCGAUCCUCGUGGGUUUCCCCAGCUGGUUAUUACAAGCAGAACAGCUAUACGGUUUCGACUUGGGUCGUGGAAUGGUCUUCAGUUUACUGGAACUCCUCAGGUGAGACAAAAUCCAUUAUACAAUUUUCAAUUUGUAUCAAACCAGCAUGAGAUCUAUUACACGUAUGAGCUCCAAAACAAUUCGGUUGCGUCAAGGGUGGUGCUGAAUGAGACAGGAAUUCUACAGCGGUAUGUUUGGAUAGAUAGAACACAAAUAUGGAAUCUUUUCUUUACGGUGCCAAUAGAUCAAUGUGACAGCUAUGCAUUUUGUGGUGCAAAUGCAAUCUGCAACAUUGGUAGCUACCCUGUUUGUGCAUGCUUGGAAGGGUUUGUCCCCAAAUCCCCAUCAGAUUGGAAACAGGCUGAUUGGUUAGAUGGAUGCGUUCGGAGGACUAAACUCGAUUGUCAUAGUGGAGAUGGAUUUUGGAAGCUCACAGGGCUAAAAUUACCUGACACAUCUUCUUCUAUGGUUAAUGAGAGCCUAAGCCUGAAAGAAUGCAAGGCAUUGUGCCUUAGAAACUGUUCAUGUGUAGCGUGUGCAAAUUCAGAUGCAAGAGGUGUCGGAAGUGGCUGCCUGCUUUGGUUCGAUAAGCUGACUGACAUUAGACAUUUCGUUGAAGGUGGGCAAGACCUCUACAUACGGAUGGCUGCUUCAGAAUUAGCUUGGAUUGAAGCAAAAAAGAAAUCAAAUGAGAGGAAAAAAGAUGCAGUUGUAGUUAGUUGUCUCAUUUUUAUUAUGGGAACGCUAAUGUCAGCAUUGCUUUUUUAUAUGCGAAAGCAAAAACAAGGAAUGAGGAACCAUGAUGACAUGAAGGAUUAUGAUAAAGAUAGUGCAAUGGAAGAGAUGGAAUUACCAAUCUUUGAUUUAGUAAUUGUGAAGAAUGCCACUAACAACUUUUCAAGAAAUAAUAAACUGGGAGAAGGUGGCUUUGGACCCGUAUUCAAGGGUACAUUAUUGGACGGGCAAGAAAUAGCGGUGAAAAGGCUUUCUGAAACUUCCAGACAAGGAAGAGAAGAGUUCAAAAAUGAAGUCAAAUUGAUUGCGAAGCUUCAGCAUAGAAAUCUUGUAAAGCUUCUUGGCUGUUGCAUUGAAGGAGAGGAAAAAUUGUUGAUCUAUGAAUACAUGCCCAACAAAAGCUUGGACUCUUUCAUAUUUGAUCGAAAGCUGCGUGUGACUUUGGACUGGGGGAUGCGUUAUAGCAUAAUUUUGGGAAUUGCUCGUGGGCUUCUAUAUCUUCACCAGGAUUCCAGGCUGAGGAUCAUCCAUAGAGACUUGAAAACAAGUAACAUUUUGCUAGAUGAGGAGAUGAACCCCAAAAUUUCUGACUUCGGCUUGGCAAGGAUUUUCGGAGGCAAAGAAACAGCUGCAAAUACCACCAGAGUAGUUGGAACCUAUGGAUAUAUAGCUCCUGAGUAUGCACUGGAUGGUCUAUUUUCUUUCAAGUCAGAUGUGUUCAGCUUUGGAGUAGUGGUGCUUGAGAUUACAAGUGGAAAAAGGAACAUAGGUUUUUAUCAACCUGAACAAUCUCUGAGUCUUCUAGGUUAUGCCUGGAAUCUGUGGAAAGAAGAAAAGGCGUUGGACUUUUUAGACCCAACCUUGAGGAAAACCUGCAAUGCAAAUGAAUUUUUGAAGUGCAUAACUGUUGGACUUUUAUGUGUACAAGAGGACCCCUGUGACCGUCCCACUAUGUCAAAUGUACUACUCAUGCUUGGCAGUGAAACUGCUUCUCUUCCAGGCCCUAAACAACCAGCCUUCGUUGUUAGGAGAUGCCCUUCCAGCAGAGCUUCUUCAUCUGGCAAACCAGAAACUUGCUCCAACAACGAGUUAACGGUCACUCUAGAAGACGGCAGAUAGCAGAGAGG